CCUACGGGUGGCUGCAGUGGGGAAUAUUGGGCAAUGGGCGCAAGCCUUACCCAGCAACGCCGCGUGAAGGAAGAAGGCUUUCGGGUUGUAAACUUCUGUUCUGAGGGACGAAGAAAGUGACGGUACCUCAGGAAUAAGCCACGGCUAACUACGUGCCAGCAGCCGCGGUAAUACGUAGGUGGCAAGCGUUAUCCGGAUUUAUUGGGUGUAAAGGGCGUGUAGGCGGGAAAGCAAGUCAGAUGUGAAAACUAAGGGCUCAACCCUGAGCCUGCAUUUGAAACUGUUUUUCUUGAGUGAUGGAGAGGCAAUUGGAAUUCCGUGUGUAGCGGUGAAAUGCGUAGAUAUACGGAGGAACACCAGUGGCGAAGGCGGCUUGCUGGACAGUAACUGACGCUGAGGCGCGAAAGCGUGGGGAGCAAACAGGAUUAGAUACCCUAGUAGUC
rnacentral:rRNA from 1 species